rnacentral:rRNA from 1 species
GAUGAACGCUAGCGGCAGGCUUAAUACAUGCAAGUCAAGGGGUCAGCAAUGACACCGGCGGACGGGUGAGUAACGCGUACACAACGUACCUUUAACUGGGGGAUAGCAUUUGGAAACGAGUGGUAAUACCGCAUGUGGUUGUAGGGAGGCAUCUUUUGCAACUAAAACUCAGGUGGUUAAAGAUCGGUGUGCGUCCGAUUAGCUUGUUGGUGAGGUAAUGGCUCACCAAGGCGACGAUCGGUAGGGGCGUGAGAGCGUGAACCCCCACACGGGUACGUGAGACACGACCGACUCUACGGGAGGCAGCAGUAAGGAAUAUUGGUC